rnacentral:rRNA from 1 species
UACGGAGGGUGCAAGCGUUGCUCGGAAUUAUUGGGCGUAAAGGGUAGGUAGGUGGUCUUAUUUGUCUGGGGUGAAAGCCUUGAGCUUAACUCAAGAAGUGCCCCAGAAACGGUAAGACUGGAGUCCUGGAGAGGGUCGUGGAAUUCCCGGUGUAGCGGUGAAAUGCGUAGAGAUCGGGAGGAACACCAGAGGCGAAGGCGGCGACCUGGACAGGCACUGACACUCAACUACGAAAGCGUGGGGAGCAAACAGG